AGACUGCCCACAGCAGCUAGCUGUGAUUUGCCUCGUGCUCUAGCAGGGACAGGAUUUUGCCGGCUGCAGUUCUCCUGUCCAUCUGCUCUCUGCUCCUCGACUCCAACCAUGAUGACCCUCUGAUGCCAGAAAUAGCCCACACUCACAAGGCCAACAGAGAGAAGUACAACAGACUAGCAAGAGAGUGGACACAGAAAUAUGCUAUGUAAGUGCCUUGGAGGCUCCAUGGGAGAGCCUGUCCAAGAGAAGCCACAGGCAGUGGCCUUCCUGUGAAGCUCUGAGCUAUUGGCUAAGGCACUCACGGAACAUGCUCUGUUCGCACACAUGUUGGCACUCACCUCUCUGGCUGCAGCAUUCUGGUGCCACUUUCAGCCAUUGUGGCCUCAAGGGCACCACACCUUUGAUGCCCAAUCAGCAACCAUCGUUACGAUCUACAGUCUUCCCGGUUACACAAAUCCGUCUAGGCUCCAGUUUGACUGCUUGUGUCUGGGGGAAACAAGCCAUGCGUGCCUCCCAUACUUGUCCUCAAACGGUGUCACUACUCACUGUGGCACUGGAUAAGGGCCCAGUCUGCUCCCUGACCACAUGCCCUUUGCCUUAGAGCACAGUGCUUUCCUGAGGGCCCAGGCAGAGUGGGCUUCUUCGUAUUUUGUCUGCCAGAGUCUGCCACAGAACCGUAACUGCAGGAGUCUGAGUGCAUCCUGGAGGCUACUGGAAAUUGGAGCAGCAUCCCCUGAGAGCCAUCUUCUGCCACUUUCUGCUAUCUCCCUGCUCCUUCCUCCAUAGUGCUCUAUGCUGCCUCUCUCUCCUCAGGAAACAGCAUGUGAGGAGCAUCAGGGCAUUUAAAGCAUGUGCCACCCCAAGAGAAUAGAAUUCUCAGACAUGGAGAGAUUUGGGUUAAGUUUUUGUAUGCAAUGAGGCUUCUUCUACCCUCUUCCCACUGGAAAUUUACCAUGAAAUCCAAGCAUAAGCCAUUCACAGACUGGAACACUGGAACACUUAAGAGGGGCUUAAGUGGAAAUGAAAGGAAAUUCCUUCCCAACUGACAAUUGACAACUAAGUC
rnacentral:sRNA from 1 species